CCCUUUUCUACGGAAUAGCUCUGGGAAACUGGAAUUAAUACCGUAUACGCCCUACGGGGGAAAGAUUUAUCGGGGAAGGAUUGGCCCGCGUUGGAUUAGCUAGUUGGUGGGGUAAAGGCCUACCAAGGCGACGAUCCAUAGCUGGUCUGAGAGGAUGAUCAGCCACAUUGGGACUGAGACACGGCCCAAACUCCUACGGGAGGCAGCAGUGGGGAAUAUUGGACAAUGGGCGCAAGCCUGAUCCAGCCAUGCCGCGUGAGUGAUGAAGGCCUUAGGGUUGUAAAGCUCUUUCACCGAUGAAGAUAAUGACGGUAGUCGGAGAAGAAGCCCCGGCUAACUUCGUGCCAGCAGCCGCGGUAAUACGAAGGGGGCUAGCGUUGUUCGGAAUUACUGGGCGUAAAGCGCACGUAGGCGGAUAUUUAAGUCAGGGGUGAAAUCCCAGAGCUCAACUCUGGAACUGCCUUUGAUACUGGGUAUCUUGAGUAUGGAAGAGGUAAGUGGAAUUGCGAGU
rnacentral:rRNA from 1 species